CCUACGGGGGGCAGCAGUGGGGAAUAUUGGACAAUGGGGGCAACCCUGAUCCAGCCAUGCCGCGUGUGUGAAGAAGGCCCUCGGGUUGUAAAGCACUUUCAGUGAGGAAGAACGCCUGGUGGUUAAUACCCAUCAGGAAAGACAUCACUCACAGAAGAAGCACCGGCUAACUCCGUGCCAGCAGCCGCGGUAAUACGGAGGGUGCGAGCGUUAAUCGGAAUUACUGGGCGUAAAGCGCGCGUAGGUGGCUUGAUAAGCCGGUUGUGAAAGCCCCGGGCUCAACCUGGGAACGGCAUCCGGAACUGUCAAGCUAGAGUGCAGGAGAGGAAGGUAGAAUUCCCGGUGUAGCGGUGAAAUGCGUAGAGAUCGGGAGGAAUACCAGUGGCGAAGGCGGCCUUCUGGACUGACACUGACGCUGAGGUGCGAAAGCGUGGGUAGCAAACAGGAUUAGAUACCCCAGUAGUC
rnacentral:rRNA from 1 species